rnacentral:rRNA from 1 species
UACGUAGGGGGCAAGCGUUGUCCGGAUUCAUUGGGCGUAAAGCGCGUGUAGGCGGCCAGGUAGGUCGGUUGUGAAAACUGGAGGCUCAACCUUCAGAGGUCGACCGAAACCAUCUGGCUAGAGUCCGGGAGAGGAGAGUGGAAUUCCUGGUGUAGCGGUGGAAUGCGCAGAUAUCAGGAGGAACACCGGUGGCGAAGGCGGAUCUCUGGGCCGUACCUGACGCUGAGGUGCGAAAGCUAGGGGAGCGAACAGG